rnacentral:rRNA from 1 species
CAAUAGCGUAUAUUAAGGUUGUUGCGGUAAAAAAGCUCGUAGUUGGAUUUCUACCGAAGAUAGCCGGUCGGGUCUUCGACCUUGUAUCUGGUUUUGUCUUUGGUAUCCUCAUAGGGAACGUUUCUGCGCUUUAUUGCGUGGUGCGGUAUCUAUGACUUUUACUUUGAGGAAAUCAGAGUGUUCACGGCAGGCAAACGCCUUGAAUAUAUUAGCAUGGAAUAAUAACAUAGGAUCUUCGUCCUAUUUUGUUGGUUUCUAGGGCUAAGAUAAUGAUUAAUAGGGAUAAUUGGGGGCAUCUGUAUCAACGCGUCAGAGGUGGAAUUCUUGGAUUGCGUUGCGACAAACUACUGCGAAAGCAUUUGCCAAGGAUGUUUUCAUUGA